AGGCCUGUAGCUUAAUUGGCAAAGCCAGAACUCAAUAUCGUUUACGGUAUUCACUUUGUGACUAUGCAGGUUCGAAUCCUGCCGGGUCUA